rnacentral:hammerhead_ribozyme from 1 species
AUCCAGCUAACGAGUUUCAAAUAGGAAGAAACGCACGUCCUGGAU